rnacentral:rRNA from 1 species
ACUAUUGGAAACGAUAGCUAAUACCGCAUAACAGCAUGUAACACAUGUUAGAUGCUUAAAAGAUGCAAUUGCAUCGCUAGUAGAUGGACCUGCGUUGUAUUAGCUAGUAGGUAGGGUAAAGGCCUACCUAGGCAACGAUACAUAGCCGACCUGAGAGGGUGAUCGGCCACACUGGGACUGAGACACGGCCCAGACUCCUACGGGAGGCAGCAGUAGGGAAUCUUCGGCAAUGGGGGGAACCCUGACCGAGCAACGCCGCGUGAGUGAAGAAGGUUUUCGGAUCGUAAAGCUCUGUUGUUAAGGAAGAACGAGUGUGAGAAUGGAAAGUUCAUGCUGUGACGGUACUUAACCAGAAAGGGACGGCUAACUACGUGCCAGCAGCCGCGGUAAUACGUAGGUCCCGAGCGUUGUCCGGAUUUAUUGGGCGUAAAGCGAGCGCAGGCGGUUAGAAAAGUCUGAAGUGAAAGGCAGUGGCUCAACCAUUGUAGGCUUUGGAAACUGUUUAACUUGAGUGCAGAAGGGGAGAGUGGAAUUCCAUGUGUAGCGGUGAAAUGCGUAGAUAUAUGGAGGAACACCGGUGGC